rnacentral:rRNA from 1 species
UGCAAGUCGAGCGGAGUUUUGAAAAGCUUGCUUUUCAAAACUUAGCGGCGGACGGGUGAGUAACACGUGGGCAACCUGCCCUUGAGACGGGGAUAACUCCGGGAAACCGGAGCUAAUACCGGAUAACACAUAUCUUCGCAUGAGGAUAUGUUAGAAGGUGGCUUUUAGCUACCACUCAAGGAUGGGCCCGCGGCGCAUUAGCUAGUUGGUGAGGUAACGGCUCACCAAGGCGACGAUGCGUAGCCGACCUGAGAGGGUGAUCGGCCACACUGGGACUGAGACACGGCCCAGACUCCUACGGGAGGCAGCAGUAGGGAAUCUUCCGCAAUGGACGAAAGUCUGACGGAGCAACGCCGCGUGAGUGAUGAAGGUUUUCGGAUCGUAAAGCUCUGUUGUUAGGGAAGAACAAGUACCUGUUAAAUAAGCAGGUACCUUGACGGUACCUAACCAGAAAGCCACGGCUAACUACGUGCCAGCAGCCGCGGUAAUACGUAGGUGGCAAGCGUUGUCCGGAAUUAUUGGGCGUAAAGCGCGCGCAGGCGGUUCCUUAAGUCUGAUGUGAAAGCCCACGGCUCAACCGUGGAGGGUCAUUGGAAACUGGGGAACUUGAGUGCAGAAGAGGAGAGCGGAAUUCCACGUGUAGCGGUGAAAUGCGUAGAGAUGUGGAGGAACACCAGUGGCGAAGGCGGCUCUCUGGUCUGUAACUGACGCUGAGGCGCGAAAGCGUGGGGAGCGAACAGGAUUAGAUACCCUGGUAGUCCACGCCGUAAACGAUGAGUGCUAAGUGUUAGAG